rnacentral:rRNA from 1 species
GACGUAGGGCGCGAGCGUUGUCCGGAUUUAUUGGGCGUAAAGAGCUUGUAGGCGGUUUGUCGCGUCUGCUGUGAAAUUUCGGGGCUCAACCCCGAACUUGCAGUGGGUACGGGCAGACUAGAGUGUGGUAGGGGAGACUGGAAUUCCCGGUGUAGCGGUGGAAUGCGUAGAGAUCGGGAAGAACAUCAGUGGCGAAGGCGGCCUGCUGGGCUGUUGCUGACGCUGAGGCGCGACAGCGUGGGGAGCAAACAGG